rnacentral:rRNA from 1 species
UACGAAGGGGGCUAGCGUUGCUCGGAAUCACUGGGCGUAAAGCGCACGUAGGCGGGUUGUUAAGUCGGGGGUGAAAUCCUGGAGCUCAACUCCAGAACUGCCUUCGAUACUGGCGACCUUGAGUCCGGGAGAGGUGAGUGGAACUCCGAGUGUAGAGGUGAAAUUCGUAGAUAUUCGCAAGAACACCAGUGGCGAAGGCGGCUCACUGGCCCGAUACUGACGCUGAGGUGCGAAAGCGUGGGGAGCAAACAGG